GAUGAACGCUAGCGGCAGGCUUAAUACAUGCAAGUCGAGGGGCAGCACAGAUAGCAAUAUUGGGUGGCGACCGGCAAACGGGUGCGGAACACGUACACAACCUUCCUUUUGGUGGGGGAUAGCCUUUGGAAACGGAGAUUAAUACCCCAUAAGAUAUUGGGACCGCAUGGUUUUGAUAUUAAAGAUUUAUUGCCAGAAGAUGGGUGUGCGUAUGAUUAGGUAGUUGGUGAGGUAAAGGCUCACCAAGCCGACGAUCAUUAACUGGUGUGAGAGCACGACCAGUCAAACGGGCACUGAGACACGGGCCCGACUCCUACGGGAGGCAGCAGUAAGGAAUAUUGGUCAAUGGACGGAAGUCUGAACCAGCCAUGCCGCGUGGAGGAUGAAGGUCCUCUGGAUUGUAAACUUCUUUUAUAUGGGGCGAAAAAGGGCCAUUCUUGGUCAACUGACGGUACCAUAUGAAUAAGCACCGGCUAACUCCGUGCCAGCCGCCGCAGUAAUAC
rnacentral:rRNA from 1 species